rnacentral:rRNA from 1 species
GAAUAUUGGGCAAUGGGGGGAACCCUGAUCCAGCCAUGCCGCGUGUGUGAAGAAGGCCUUUUGGUUGUAAAGCACUUUAAGCGAGGAGGAGGCUACCUGGAUUAAUCCUUUAGGUUAGUGGUCGUUACUCGCAGAAUACGCCCCGGCUACCUCUGUGCCAGCAGCCGCGGUAAUACAGAGGGUGCGAGCGUUAAUCGGAUUUACUGGGCGUAAAGCGUGCGUAGGCGGCCAAUUAAGUCAAAUGUGAAAUCCCCGAGCUUAACUUGGGAAUGGCAUUCGAUACUGGAUGGCUAGAGUAUGGGAGAGGAUGGUAGAAUUCCAGGUGUAGCGGUGAAAUGCGUAGAGAUCUGGAGGAACACCGAUGGCGAAGGCAGCCAUCUGGCCUAAUACUGACGCUGAGGUACGAAAGCAUGGGGAGCAAAC